AUGCCCUCAGGCAUGGUUGGAGCUCACUUUUCCUCUCCCUGCUCCCUGCCAGGCUGCGUGGCCACGAGCUCCCAUCGAUCCUCUCUCAGGAGCUGCUUCCAGGGUCUGGGAAGCAGCUUGCAGCUGAAAUGGGAGCACCGCAGCCCCCUCACCACCGUUGGCUGUCCCGUUGCCUGCCAGCCCCAAAAGUGGCCAGCUCCGCUCAGCAGGGGUGGUGGCAUCCGAGGGCUGCAGCGCCGGGCACUGGGAGAGCCCCAAGGCCAAGGGACCCAUCCCUGGUGCAAGGGGACAGAGGCAGGAGGAUGGCGCUGCUGGGUUUCUCCUUUGCUGGGUUGGGAGCAGCGAUGUCCCACCAUCCCGGAGCGGGGAUGCUGCAGGGCACUGCUCUGCAGAACUAUUCCCACCCACAUGCCCCCAUGCAGGGAUCCAUCGGACGUGUCUCUGUCCCUUGGGAAAAGUGCCGGGAACAGCCAUGUGCACAGCACGUUCCCUCUCUCGCCUGCGCCCCACGUGAGCCCAGUCUCACGGUCGCAGGCUCCGGCUCUGCACGGCAGAUGGUCCCAUACCGUGAGGGGCCGCCCGGGCCCCCUCGCCACGUGGCCCCGCUCACGGGGCCUCCACGCAGCUGCAGCCAGGGACCCCGGCCAGACCGGCGCAGGGGAUCAGCAGGGUUUCGACACCACCGCUUCAUCCAGCUUCACGCCACCUCCCCGCGGAGCCCAGCAUAUCCCCUCCCCAUCCUUAGGGACCUCGCUCCAGCAUCCUCCCUUUUCCCCAUCAUCCCUCUGCGCUCCGGGCUCAGCCGAGCCCGUAUCUCCCGCCCGGGCUACGGCUUUACCUGCCCGGUCCGCACACCUCGCCCAGGCACAGGGCCAGCGCAUUUUGCACCGCGCAAGCCCCAUGCGAAGCACAUUGUAUGCUAAUCACCCGGGGGUUCCCGCAGCCCGAGCCCUCGCUUCCCUUUGCCGCCGCCGGAUGAGAGCCCGGAAUAAGACGCUCCCGCUUUGGUUUUUCAUCAGUGAAUAG
rnacentral:lncRNA from 1 species